UAGGUCUAGGCCUGGUGACGCUCCGGCAGAAGCGAAAGACGUGUAGCGUUUAAUAAUUAUACAGGGUGGAAUUUUUAACUGGAAUAAAAUCAUUAGGGAGCCUAUUUGUUGAAAAAAUAAAAUCGUGACAAAAAAAGUGUCCGAGACAAAACAGUCAAUCUUAAAAAAUAAAUUGUUUAGCCAAAAACGACCGAACCGUGAAAUUUAAUAUUGAGAAGGAUAUUUAUUGACAAAAAUUGCGUUCUCUGACAUCAUCCCCUCACUUCCCAGAGUGUCCAUGUCAAUUUUUUUAAACGGGAAUAGGGGUCGAGUUAAAAAAAAUUAUUAAAGAGGAGAAUCCUUUCCGCUAAGGAAACACACCACAGUUUUGCAAGCAGAGGAUUUGCUAUACUUGAAGUAGCAAACAAACGGGAAGCAAUCGAAGGGAACGAACUAGCAAGACAAGGUUCUGUUUCCUCCACUUCACCGAAACCCU